AUGUUAUGGUUCGGACAUUGUGCCAUCUUCUUCUUGAAUCUCUCCCAAGUUUCAUCCAAUACUUCAAUUGGGAGUUGCCUAAAGUUACUAAUUUCGUCCCUAAACUG
rfam:Capsicum annuum cultivar Zunla-1 chromosome 10, whole genome shotgun sequence